CACAAAUUCUAUAAACUCAAAAUCUAAAAUCGUGUACUUUGUAUUUAUGCAAAUAGAAUUUAUCAUAUUUUAGGUUUUUCUCAAUAGAAAAGUCAACAGCAAUAGAUUACUUUUUAGUAAAAGUUGAGGGUUUGCAAAACCUAUAUAUUCCACAUAUCCCAAAAGACAGUAUAGUUUUAAGUUUCAAUGGCUUCAAAUACACUGUCAUUCCCUAUUUCUGUACCAUAUUUUUUCUGUCUAUUUAUCUAUCUAUCUAUCUAUCUAUCUAUCUAUCUAUCUAUCUAUCUAUCUAUUUAUCUUCUGUUUAUCCUUUACUGUUUUAGAUUCAUUAUACUUUUUCAUAGCUGGCAUUGAUAUAGCACUUUACCUAUUUUAUCUCAUAUGAUUCUCAUAACAAUUGUAUGAUACAGGUGCCCUUAUUGUUUCCCCUUCUUUUAGAGAUAAACUAACCAAGUCGUAAAGAACUUCUAGUUAUUUUCCUUGUCAUACAUCUAGCAAAUGCACCGUUUUAGAAAGAGAAGCUCUUUCUCACUCCAAGUCCAAUAUUCUAAGUCCAGGCACAUUUCUAUUGUGACUGCUUUUAGAAUCCACUACUAGAAACUAUUGGAGUAUGAAGUGAAGAAAUGAUGUAAAAGGAAAUAAAUUCAAUGAGGAACAUGUCCUUGAGGAUCUAGAAUCCUGCCAGAAAAGAAAAAAACAAAUUCGAAAUAACUUGAAAGGAAGUCUAGUAUACUGGAAAAUGAAUGGGACUUGAAAUCAGAGAAUCUGAAUUCAUACCCCAGUUUUUGCUGUGUGAACUUGUGAAAGACUUAGAAACUUUCUAAUCUUCUAUUCAUCUAUAAAGGAAGACAAUGGAAUUUUACAGGUCAGAGAAUUAAGAAACAAAACAAAAUUUCCUGACAAUUGAAACUAUACAACAUGAUGAUUGAAUGGAUUCCUUUUCACUAAUAGUCUUCAAACAAAGGUUGGCUGCUGGAUCAAAAUUUUUUGGAACAUUUUUGGAAGGUAUGUCAAUAAGAAAAAAGAACAAAAAGGUCCCAGCUGUGAGGAUGAGUGAUAGAGAUGGAAGGACUGGCAAUGAUUCACUUUGUUUUGAAACUGAAAAGAGAAGAAAAGUCAGAAAAGGUGGAGAGACUUAUAAUUUUCCCAGUAGGAUUUCACAAAUAGUUCUGAUUAAGCCCACUAUUUGCAUUGUGAUAAUUAAUGUUGUGUCAGUGGUCUGCUAUUUACUAAUGGUUCAUACCUAAGAAAUUAGGAAUUUUGAAAAUGAUGUAAAGAUAUUUUUAUGCAGUCCACAGAAGGUAGGAGUUCUGAGACCAGUGGGUCAAGCAACCAAAGCAAACAAGCAGUUUUGUAGUUGGAGUGGUUAGAGAGAGUAACAAAUUAAAAUAGAUUUCUAUUUAUGCAAAUGUAGAGGGCAACGAGGACCAUAGUUAUUCCUGUGACUUAAAGAGUUUGCACUAUAUUUCUGAUUCUGCCAUAGACAAUCAACAAAGAUGUGUACACAGACUGAUUUGUCUGCCAGAUGAGAGAGUCAGAGGUAGGAGGAAUUCCUAGUCAGUCUUUAUAUCAUCAGGGAAGAUGAAGUAUUCCUUUUAAUGAUGGAGGGAAAGACCCAAAAGAACAAGAAAGAAGAAAAAAUACUCUUGAAGUCAGAGAAGAGAAUCCCAAAUAAGUACAAUAGGGUAGAAUAUUGUAGGAUGGAGGGGAAAAUUUGACUUUGGGACAGUUUAAGAUAUGUCAUAGGUAUAAUGGUCCCCCACCCACCUCAAGAAUGGAUUCAGACCAUCUGAGACAGAAAUAGGUUCUCAUGUACUCCAUGGGAAUGUAAUAGGGAUACACGGAUGCCAAGAGUGAAGACAUCUGUUUUUGGUUCCAGGAAGAAGAGACAUACUGUGAUGAAAGAAUACAGCCUUGUGAGAGCUACUGAUAAAUUGAUGUUAUCUGAAUGUUCAGGAGCCAUGCUACCUUCCCAGGACAUUAAUACCAGACAUGACAGAGGCCCUUUCAAAACCUAGCAAAUCUGAAGACUUGUAUCCAUGAUCUUAUUGAUUGAUAAGGGAGUACAUGACACUGGAAGGAUAUGAGAGGACAUAAUUAUAUAGCCUUAAGGACAGGUACUAUUUUCCCUUGAUUUUCCUUGGAAUUUAGUAUGGCUUCUUGAACAUUACACGUUCUUAAUAAAUGUUUGUUGAUCUCAGCCCUCUGAGCCA
ensembl:lncRNA